rnacentral:tRNA from 1 species
GGGUGGUGAAAUGGCAGACACGCAGGAUUUAGGAUCCUGUGCCGCAAGGCGUGGAGGUUCAAGUCCUCUCCCCGGCACAA